rnacentral:snoRNA from 1 species
AACCCAUGAUGAGGGCAUAUUUUCAAAAGAUCUUUAAAUCUCCACCAUGUAUCAUAUAAUGUCUCCAUAUCAAAUUGAACAAAAGAAGAAAUGUCAUUUCUCAACUU